CCCCUUGUAGCUCAGUCGGUAAAGAAUCUGCCUGCAGUGCAGGAGACCCGGGUUCGAAUCCUGGGUUGGGAA
rnacentral:tRNA from 1 species